rnacentral:lncRNA from 1 species
UUUAUUGGAGCAAAAAUUGGAAUCUAUUAAUUAAUAUGGCGAUGUUGUCAUUGUUGAUCAUGAUUUAGAAAAUGAGGAAACUCAAAUUACUGAUACGCCAGGAAAAUAUCUCGUGUGGAAAGUUCAUCAUUCACUCCAUUCAGUCGAGCUUUGUUUCGAAGUCCUGGCACAUCAGCAAAGGUAUAAUAAAAAAAAAUAUGGUAGACGAAAUUGUACUUAUAAAUGUACUGUUAUUCUUUGCUAUUUUAUUCUUAUAAAUUGUCUUUGUAUAUUCAGUGUUAAGCUGGAGUAAAUACGAGCAACAAAAUUGCUGCAACUUGCAACAAAAUCUGAUUUCAACGCAUGUACGAGGCAACAUUUCUAUGACUUGUAUUAAGUUAUGUGUCAACAUUCCCACUAACAUCCGUUGAAAUCAGAUUUUGUUGCAAAUUGCAGCAAUUUUGUUGUCUGUAUUACUCCACCUUAAUACCUCUGUGUAACAUUAUUCUGCAGUGUAACAUUAUUCAUGUAUGAUUAUUCAUAUGUCAUCUGCGCCCCAAUUUCCAUUUUAGUAAAUGACAUACUUUUUUGUAGUUUCCUAGCAGAAAGAUCAGGCUGACUCUGUCAGAGAAGUCACCAGUGAAAAAAACAUAAAUGGACCUUUGAGGAAAAUAAAGCUUUGAUCAAGUUGAUAUCUAUUGCCAAAAAAGAUCCAUGGGUCUGGAGAAAUUUUGUCCAUAAUAAAAUAAAAUAACAAUUUACCGCAUUAGCCUAGUAAUCUAUGUCACUGUUAUAAUGGGUCGUUCCAGAAAAGAUCCAUACUCCCCCCAAAGAGGAAAUUUCUGCCAUCCGGGGGGGAGGGGAGAAAAAAUUGUUUCUGAUAAUAGUAAAUGUAUUAGGACAUCCGAAGGGGGUAGGGGGGUUAACUUCCUAUUUCCUCCGUGGGGGCGGUAUGGAUGUUUUCUGGAAUGACCCAAUUGUAGGGAUCCAUAAUAAAAUAAAUACUGUAUGUAGGAAUCCAUAAUAAAAUAACAACAAUUUACAAUAUACUUCUUGUGUGUGUUGGUGUUAUUUACUCAGGUAUUCAUGUUUGUGAUGUUACUCUGAGUAUGCAUCCACACCGAGCUGAGCUCAGUUGGUAGAGCAUUGGACUAAUAUCCCAAAGAUGGCAGGUUCAAUUCCCACCAUGG